rnacentral:rRNA from 1 species
CGACCGGCGCACGGGUGCGUAACGCGUAUGCAACCUACCUUUAACAGGGGGAUAACACUGAGAAAUUGGUACUAAUACCCCAUAAUAUCAUAGAAGGCAUCUUUUAUGGUUGAAAAUUCCGAUGGUUAGAGAUGGGCAUGCGUUGUAUUAGCUAGUUGGUGGGGUAAUGGCUCACCAAGGCGACGAUACAUAGGGGGACUGAGAGGUUAACCCCCCACACUGGUACUGAGACACGGUCCAA